UCACAUCGUACACUUUAACCCAAAAAUUUAAAGAUUUUUUUUUGGAGCAAUUUGGCUUUAGAGAAUAGGAAAAAUCAAGUGGAGUGGGUGUGGUCAAUAGAAUCUCCACUUGUCCAUGGGACAAAUGUGGGUUUGCUUUCUGAGAGCUUUUGGUUUGAAAAUUGAGUUAAGGCAAUAAUAAUAACCCCACCAAAGUUUCAUUCUUGAGAAAAAUCGAACGAUAGACAUUCAAUAUGGGUAGGGUAAUCAAUAAUUCUUGAUGGCUUUGUCAAUUUGGAC